rnacentral:rRNA from 1 species
UGCGAGUGAAGCGGGAAAAGCUCAAAUUUAAAAUCUGGCGGUCUUUGGCCGUCCGAGUUGUAGUCUGGAGAAGUGCUUUCCGCGCUGGACCGUGUACAAGUCUCUUGGAACAGAGCGUCAUAGAGGGUGAGAAUCCCGUCUUUGACACGGACUACCAGUGCUUUGUGAUGCGCUCUCAAAGAGUCGAGUUGUUUGGGAAUGCAGCUCUAAAUGGGUGGUAAAUUCCAUCUAAAGCUAAAUAUUGGCGAGAGACCGAUAGCGAACAAGUACCGUGAGGGAAAGAUGAAAAGCACUUUGGAAAGAGAGUUAAACAGUACGUGAAAUUGCUGAAAGGGAAACGCUUGAAGUCAGUCGCGUUGGCCGGGACUCAGCCUUGCUUUUUGCUUGGUGCAUUUUCCGGUCGACGGGCCAGCAUCGAUUUUGACCGUCGGAAAAGGGCUAGGGAAAUGUGGCACCUUCGGGUGUGUUAUAGUCUCUAGUCGCAUGCGGCGGUUGGGAUCGAGGAACGCAGCGCGCCGCAAGGCAGGGGUUCGCCCACUUUCGCGCUUAGGAUGCUGGCAUAAUGGCUUUAAACGACCCGUCUUGAAACACGGACCAAGGAGUCUAACUUACCUGCGAGUGUUUGGGUGGAAAACCCGAGCGCGUAAUGAAAGUGAAAGUUGAGACCUCUGUCGUGGAGGGCAUCGACGCCCGGACCUGACGUUCUCUGACGGAUCCGCGGUAGAGCAUGUAUGUUGGGACCCGAAAGAUGGUGAACUAUGCCUGAAUAGGGUGAAGCCAGAGGAAACUCUGGUGGAGGCUCGUAGCGAUUCUGACGUGCAAAUCGAUCGUCAAAUUUGGG